GUUGGGUAUGGUGGUGCACGCCUGUAAUCCCAGUGGCUCUGGAGGCUGAGGCAGGAGGAUUAUGAACUCAAAACCAGCCUCAGCAAAAGCGAAGUGCUAAGCAACUCAGUGAAAUUCUGUCUCUA
rnacentral:sRNA from 1 species